AACGAACGCUGGCGGCAUGCCUAACACAUGCAAGUCGAACGAGACCUUCGGGUCUAGUGGCGCACGGGUGCGUAACGCGUGGGAACCUGCCCUUAGGUUCGGAAUAACUCCCCGAAAGGGGUGCUAAUACCGGAUAAUGUCUUCGGACCAAAGAUUUAUCGCCUUUGGAUGGGCCCGCGUUGGAUUAGCUAGUUGAUAGGGUAAAAGCCUACCAAGGCGACGAUCCAUAGCUGGUCUGAGAGGAUGAUCAGCCACACUGGGACUGAGACACGGCCCAGACUCCUACGGGAGGCAGCAGUGGGGAAUAUUGGACAAUGGGCGAAAGCCUGAUCCAGCAAUGCCGCGUGAGCGAUGAAGGCCUUAGGGUUGUAAAGCUCUUUUACCCGGGAUGAUAAUGACAGUACCGGGAGAAUAAGCUCCGGCUAACUCCGUG
rnacentral:rRNA from 1 species